UACGUAGGGGCCUAGCGUUGUCCGGAUUUAUUGGGCGUAAAGAGCUCGUAGGCGGUUCGGCAAGUCGGAUGUGAAAUCUCCACGCUCAACGUGGAGGGGCCAUUCGAAACUGCCGUGACUCGAGUCCGGUAGGGGAGUGUGGAAUUCCCGGUGUAGCGGUGAAAUGCGCAGAUAUCGUAAGGAAGACCAGUGGCGAAGGCGGGUCUCUGGACAGUUCCUGACGCUGAGGCACGAAGGCCAGGGGAGCAAACGGG
rnacentral:rRNA from 1 species